rnacentral:lncRNA from 1 species
CGGGUAUGAAAUCCCGCCCUUCUUUGAUUUGAGGUAAGAGCGGAGCAGCGGGGACGGAGUUAUGAACCUGGCCCUGUGAAUUAGAUUCACAAGUGGUCACGGAUCGCUCUUCCGACGCAGGGCUUUCCCCCACGCCCAUUCCCAGAGUCGCACUGUGGGCUCCCUUAAAUGUGGACUGUACUAGCAAAGCCAACCAUAGCGCGAGUGCCCCAGCGAGCUCCGAAAAGAGCUCCGCGAUUCUAUUAAACGGACUCCAGAAAUGUAGCUGUUGGCUAAAGUCAUGUAUGGAAAAGAAAUCAAAUAGAAUGUAUUGCUUUCUCUAUGCCCAAGAAAGGGAAAAGGAGCAUAUAGGUACGGCUUUUGACUACAAAGCAAUGCAAAGUCUUUAGUAGAAAGAGGAGCUGAAAGAACUCUUAUUAGGCUUGCUUGUGAUUCAGAACCAGCAUGGAAAGAGUUUUCAAAAUA